CCUACGGGAGGCUGCAGUGGGGCAUAUUGCACAAUGGGGGAAACCCUGAUGCAGCGACGCCGCGUGAGUGAAGAAGUAUCUCGGUACGUAACGCUCUAUCAGCAGGGAAGAAAAUGACGGUACCUGACUAAGAAGCCCCGGCUAACUACGUGCCAGCAGCCGCGGUAAUACUUAGGGGGCAAGCCUUAACCGGAUGUACUGGGGGUAAAGGGAGCGUAUACGGCAUCACAAGUCUGGGGUGAAAUCCCGGGGCUUAACCCCGGAACGGCUUUGGAAACUGUGCGGCUGGAGUGCAGGAGGGGUAAGCGGAAUUCCUAGUGUAGCGGUGAAAUGCGUAGAUAUUAGGAGGAACACCGGUGGCGAAGGCGGCAUACUGGACUGUAACUGACGUUGAGGCUCGAAAGCGUGGGGAGCAAACAGGAUUAGAUACCCCUGUAGUC
rnacentral:rRNA from 1 species